rnacentral:rRNA from 1 species
CGCGUAGGCGGUCUCUUAAGUCAGAUGUGAAAGCCCGGGGCUUAACCUCGGAAGUGCAUUUGAAACUAAGGGACUUGAGUAUGGGAGAGGGAAGUGGAAUUCCUGGUGUAGCGGUGAAAUGCGUAGAUAUCAGAAGGAACACCGGUGGCGAAGGCGACUUCCUGGACCAAUACUGACGCUGAGGCGCGAAGGCGUGGGGAGCAAACAGGAUUAGAUACCCGAGUAGUCC